rnacentral:rRNA from 1 species
AAAACGACUCUCGGCAACGGAUAUCUCGGCUCUCGCAUCGAUGAAGAACGUAGCGAAAUGCGAUACUUGGUGUGAAUUGCAGAAUCCCGUGAACCAUCGAGUUUUUGAACGCAAGUUGCGCCCAAAGCCAUUAGGCUAAGGGCACGUCUGCCUGGGCGUCACGCAUCUCGUCGCCC